AUACAGAGGUGGCAAGCGUUGUUCGGAAUUAUUGGGCGUAAAGAGCGCGUAGGUGGGUUUGUAAGUCAGAUGUGAAAGCCUUCUGUUCAACGGAAGAAUUGCAUCUGAAACUGCGAAUCUUGAGUGUAGGAGGGGAGAAUGGAACUUCUGGUGGAGCGGUGAAAUGCGUAGAUAUCAGAAGGAACGCCGGCGGCGAAAGCGAUUCUCUGGCCUAUUACUGACACUCAGUGCGCGAAAGCUAGGGGGGCAAACGGGAUUAGAAACCCCAUUAGUCC
rnacentral:rRNA from 1 species